UGACUUCACUACUUCCCUGGGCAACCUGAGCCAGUACUUCACCAAAUCCACACAGAAUCCCUGCAGGUUUAUUUGCUCUCUCUUCUACCCCAGACUACUUUUCAUCUUUCAGGAGAAGGUCAAGGAUGCUGCCUGGACUAUGAAUUUUGUUGUCACUGAAGAACCUGAGGCAUCAAACUGAACUGCACUUUGUGCUUUGUCACUGCAUUGGGUCCUGACCUCUUCAGUCCCACCCAUCCAUCAGACAAUGUCCCCCUAUUACAUAUGAAAUAUGCAAUGAAGACAUUUUCAUUCCUUCA